AAGACUAUAGACCUGCGGAGUACCUGCGGAAGGAUCAUUACCGAGUUUACAACUCCCAAACCCCAUGUGAACAUACCUGUUUCGUUCCCUCGGCGGUGUCCGGCAACGGCCCGCCAGAGGACCCAACAAACUCUUUUGAAUUUUUCAGUAUCUUCUGAGUGAAAAAAACAAUAAAUCAAAACUUUUAACAACGGAUCUCU
rnacentral:misc_RNA from 1 species